rnacentral:rRNA from 1 species
GGUUGCGAUCAUACCAGCACUAAUGCACCGGAUCCUAUCAGAACUCCGCAGUCAAGCGUGCUUGGGCGAGAGUAGUACUAGGAUGGGUGACCCCCUGGGAAGUCCUCGUGUUGCAACCC